AUAUUCAGAAAGGACUCUUACUACUUGGGCUCUUUCAUGCAAGUGCAGUCAAGUGUUGGCUUGUGCUGCAGAAUUAUGAAAGCUUGACAGGCUGGACAUGCAAAAUAGCUCAUGUACAAGACUGGUAGUUAUUGUCCGUCUUCAGCUGGGAGAUCAUCUAGGUUGUUGAACUGGAGUGCCUAUACGUGGCCUUUCCAUUAUAUUGGUCUCAGGGUAGUUAGACAUUUACACAAAGACUCAGGGAUCCAAAAGUGAGUGUCCCAGCUCAUGAGAUGAAGGCUUCAUUAUCUUUUAUGACUUAACCUUAGAAGUCACAUGACAUCAUAUCUGCCACAUUCUGUUGGUUCCAUGUAAUCCACAUUCCUGCCCAGAUUCAAGGGAAGGGAAAUUGGACUCAACUUCUUGAUGGUGGAGGAGCAAGGCCAAGGAAAAGGAUGUGGGACGAAAGUAUUGAAAUCAGUUUUGGGAAGUGUAACCUGCCUCAAAUAUAACAUGAGAUCAGAAUCUUUAGAUGAGCCAAGAGGUGCCAAAAGAAGCCACACUGAAUGUAUAACUGAAGAAGGGAGCUGGGACUCCAAGAAAAAUACACAAGGGCAAAGUGGAAGCUGAGCCAGGAGGAUGGCUGAGGCUUCCCUGUAGGUGUUUUAUCUUUCAGAAAGUACGUGAACACCGACAGGUCAAGAGAUCCUCUUUGUCUUCCAUUUCCAGUCACAUCUGAGGAUCUGACCAAGAGGACUUUAAGUCAAGCAUUGAGACAAAGGAGAAAAACCAAUUUUUUUUUAUCACUAGUAGAUUUGACAGAAAACAUUGAUUAAGUUUGGUACCUACAAAUUAGAGCAAAGAUUGUGUCUCCCUGAAUACUCUGGAGAUUAAUAAAGAGAACUGAGUAGAUCCUUCACCAAGUGACCAGUGACAUAUGACUCUGAGCAGAAGGAGAGAAGAUAAGGCUUGUGACAAAGCAGCCCAAUCAUGAUGAUAUGAUUUCGUUUGUGUUUUAUUUUCAGAAGCUGUCCUACUAGGAAGCAUUUCAACACUCUCUGAAGACUCUCAGUUUCUCCACUAUGGGAGGGGUUGUUUUGGGGCUAUGUUGAUUUUCUUUAACUUGUAGAGGAAACCUCAACAUAAAGAAAAAUAAAGCCUGUGGCAGAAGAGAAGCUAUAGACAUUUCCCCAUUGUACUCAUGCUGAGAUCCAAAGCUGGAAAGUCACUCCCUGUAGUCAGAGCAGGGGCCUUCCUUCUCGGGGGAGGCGGCAAGUCAUUCGCAGGCCAGAGAUGAUGUUACGUGGAACAACCAAUGAAACAGUCAGACCGCUACACUUCCUUCUCAGAAUGCCCCAUCCCGGACUGGCCACUGCUCACAAAGCAAGAGGAUGAGACUGACGUCCAGAGAAGCCCUCAGUCAUUAUAAGAGCCACAGGAAAGGGAUCCCUAACCAUCAAAGUCUUUACUAGGAUCAUAAAAAGAUGAUCUGAUCUCCAGUGCCUACCAGGGAGGAAUAAUGGCACAGCACAGAGGGGCAGGAUGGAGACUGCAUCCUAACCAGGGCCCAACGUGUUUGUCAUCCCACCUGAUGAGAUGAAGCUGAA
ensembl:lncRNA